CCUACGGGAGGCAGCAGUAGGGAAUAUUGCUCAAUGGGGGAAACCCUGAAGCAGCAACGCCGCGUGGAGGAUGAAGGUUUUCGGAUUGUAAACUCCUUUUGUUAGAGAAGAUAAUGACGGUAUCUAACGAAUAAGCACCGGCUCACUCCGUGCCAGCAGCCGCGGUAAUACGGAGGGUGCAAGCGUUACUCGGACUCACUGGGCGUAAAGCGCGCGUAGGCGGGAUAGCAAGUCAGAUGUGAAAUCCUAUGGCUUAACCAUAGAACUGCAGUUGAAACUGUUAGUCUAGAGUGUGGGGGAGGUAGGUGGAAUUCGUGGUGUAGGGGUAAAAUCCGUAGAGAUCAAGAGGAAUACUCAUUGCGAAGGCGACCUGCUAGAACGUAACUGACGCUGAUGCGCGAAGGCGUGGGGAGCAAACAGGAUUAGAUACCCUAGUAGUC
rnacentral:rRNA from 1 species